CGGGCUUGAAUUGCAGAUGAACGAUUUAGAGAUAAUGAGGUCCUUCGGGACAUCUGUGAAGGUGCUGCAUGGUU
rnacentral:rRNA from 1 species